rnacentral:rRNA from 1 species
GACGAACGCUGGCGGCGUGCCUAAUACAUGCAAGUAGAACGCAGUUGAGAACGGGUGAGGACCGCGCAGGUACCUGCUUCAUCCCGGCGGAUAAAUAUUGGUAACGAUUGCUAAUAUCGCAUACUGUGAGAUGGACCUGCGUUGUAUUAGCUAGUUGGUGGGGUAAAGGCUCACCAAGGCGACGAUACAGAGCCGGCCUGAGAGGGUGAACGGCCAAACUGGGACGGAGAAACGGCCCAGACUCCUAAGGGAGGCAGCAGUGGGGAAUCUUCAGGAAUGGAAGGAAGUCUGAACGGGCAAAGGCGCGUGAGUGAAGAAGGUUUUCGGGUCGUAAAGCUCUGUUAUUAGGGAAGCGGUAACUAACCAGAAAGGGACGGCUAACUACGUGCCAGCAGCCGCGGUAAUAC